AGCGAACGCUGGCGGCAGGCUUAACACAUGCAAGUCGAGCGGGCAUCCUUGUGGUGUCAGCGGCAGACGGGUGAGUAACGCGUGGGAACGUGCCCUUCGGUUCGGAAUAACUCAGGGAAACUUGAGCUAAUACCGGAUACGUGCGAGAGCAGAAAGGUUUAUCUGCCGAAGGAUCGGCCCGCGUCUGAUUAGCUAGUUGGUGAGGUUACGGCUCACCAAGGCGACGAUCAGUAGCUGGUCUGAGAGGAUGAUCAGCCACACUGGGACUGAGACACGGCCCAGACUCCUACGGGAGGCAGCAGUGGGGAAUAUUGGACAAUGGGGGCAACCCUGAUCCAGCCAUGCCGCGUGAGUGAUGACGGCCUUAGGGUUGUAAAGCUCUUUUCUCCGGGACGAUAAUGACGAUACCGGAGUAAUAAGCCCCGGCUAACUUCGUG
rnacentral:rRNA from 1 species